GUGCUGGCUGCUAUUUAUUGCAGUCUAGGAAGGUUCGACGAGGCUGUGCCGGCUCUCGAGUUACUGUGCCGGAUUUGACUAGAAGAAUGGAUCACGUGCUCGCGGCGUUUUCUGUGUAUAUGCAGUUGGGGAUACGUACUCGAUGCUUGGACAGGUCGAUAUGUCGAUGCCGCCUACGAGGAGGGGCUCAAAAUUCAGAUGGAAGCUUUGGGAGAGACCGAUCCCAGAGUUGGCAAGGCUUGGAGGGCGUUUGUUUUGCUUGUACCUAGCUGAGGCUAA
rnacentral:misc_RNA from 1 species